GGCGUGCCUAAUACAUGCAAGUAGAACGCUGACUACUUUAGCUUGCUAGAGUAGAAGGAGUUGCGAACGGGUGAGUAACGCGUAGGUAACCUGCCUACUAGCGGGGGAUAACUAUUGGAAACGAUAGCUAAUACCGCAUAACAGUGUUUAACACAUGUUAGAUGCUUGAAAGAUGCAAAUGCAUCACUAGUAGAUGGACCUGCGUUGUAUUAGCUAGUUGGUGGGGUAACGGCCUACCAAGGCGACGAUACAUAGCCGACCUGAGAGGGUGAUCGGCCACACUGGGACUGAGACACGGCCCAGACUCCUACGGGAGGCAGCAGUAGGGAAUCUUCGGCAAUGGGGGCAACCCUGACCGAGCAACGCCGCGUGAGUGAAGAAGGUUUUCGGAUCGUAAAGCUCUGUUGUAAGAGAAGAACGUGUGUGAGAGUGGAAAGUUCACACAGUGACGGUAACUUACCAGAAAGGGACGGCUAACUACGUGCCAGCAGCCGCGGUAAUACGUAGGUCCCGAGCGUUGUCCGGAUUUAUUGGGCGUAAAGCGAGCGCAGGCGGUUUAAUAAGUCUGAAGUUAAAGGCAGUGGCUUAACCAUUGUUCGCUUUGGAAACUGUUAAACUUGAGUGCAGAAGGGGAGAGUGGAAUUCCAUGUGUAGCGGUGAAAUGCGUAGAUAUAUGGAGGAACACCGGUGGCGAAAGCGGCUCUCUGGUCUGUAACUGACG
rnacentral:rRNA from 1 species